rnacentral:rRNA from 1 species
AGUGAACGCUGGCGGUAGGCCUAACACAUGCAAGUCGAACGGCAGCACAGUAAGAGCUUGCUCUUACGGGUGGCGAGUGGCGGACGGGUGAGGAAUACAUCGGAAUCUACUUUUUCGUGGGGGAUAACGUAGGGAAACUUACGCUAAUACCGCAUACGACCUACGGGUGAAAGCAGGGGAUCUUCGGACCUUGCGCGAUUGAAUGAGCCGGUGUCGGAUUAGCUGGUUGGCGGGGUAAAUGCCCACCAAGGCGACGAUCCGUAGCUGGUCUGAGAGGAUGAUCAGCCACACUGGAACUGAGACACGGUCCAGACUCCUACGGGAGGCAGCAGUGGGGAAUAUUGGACAAUGGGCGCAAGCCUGAUCCAGCCAUACCGCGUGGGUGAAGCAGGCCUUCGGGGUGUAAAGCCCUUUUGUUGGGAAAGAAAAGCAGCAGGUUAAUACCCCGCUGUUCUGACGGUACCCAAAGAAUAAGCACCGGCUAACUUCGUG